AGGCAGAGAGCAGGGACACGGAAUCCGAAGCAGGCUCGUCGGUGGGAGGAGGCCAGCAUCACGGUAUGUGAGAAGACAGCAGGUUUGAAGAAGGAUUGGAGUUCAAAUCCGGAGGCAACCGCUCACUGCCCGGGCGGCCUUGCGGAAAUUCCUUCUGCUUCCCGAGCUCCUGUUAUCUCAUUUGCAAAAUGGGCACCCAAAUACCACCUUUAUGCAGUCCUUAGGAGAUGAAACGACCUCACGAAGGAAACACAUCCGAUCCGGGGGGCUACUAAGUAUCUCUUCCUUUCCUCCAGGAAUAUGUAAUCCCCUCCCACGUUCCAACUUGUGUUUUGGCCAAUAACUCUGGUUUGUACAUACGCUUAGCAGGCAAAAAAACCGAAGGGACUGAGUUUAGUAAUGCCCCUUGGGUUGUGUCCUCUGGUGACUCAUCUGGAAAAUAGAGCCAGGUUAUUGAGCCAGUGUUCUGUUGGCCUGUCCUUGAGGUCUGGGGGUCCUAGCUAACGGGAUCCAGUUUUCCCAGACCAGGUUCUGGAAGGCUGUGGUUCAGGGAGGAGUUGGAUUCAUGGCCACUGCGUGCCAGAUGCUGCCCCGGGCCCUGGGACUACAGAGAAAUUCUGCCUCUGAGUAGCUCAGAGCUUAGCAAAAGAGACCCACUGAUUAACCCAGUGAGAUGCCCUGGGCACUUACGAGUAUGUGAGGAGGCCCGGUCCUGUGGUCUCUUGGGUCAUCGCAAGAAACCAGGAGUUAAACCACCCUCUCUGAGGCAGGAAAUCCCCACCUUCCAUAGGAGAUAGCUGGUGCUGGGUGGCUGCCUGGAGGAGGCAGCUGGCACCGUGGCAGCAGGAGAGGGAGUCUGAAGGGGCCUUUCCCCUUUAUUUUUCUUGCUGCUAUCCAUCAGGUUUCUCCUGCCCGAGGUGGUUUCUGUCUGGUUUUUGUUUUCAGUCAAUUUACUUAAAUUCCAGUCAAUCUCCUUCCCAAGGCUAAACUUGGUAACUAACCAAACAGACAGAAUCUUGCCCGAUAAACCUUGCCAGGUAUGGCCGUAAAUGCUUUACUCACCAA